rnacentral:rRNA from 1 species
CCCUGCCAUUUGUACACACCGCCCGUCGUUGUUUCCGAUGAUGGUGCAAUACAGGUGAUCGGACAGCGAGCGUCACCGCUUGCCUGAAAGUUCACCGAUAUUUCUUCAAUAGAGGAAGCAAAAGUCGU